rnacentral:rRNA from 1 species
AUUGAACGCUGGCGGCAGGCCUAACACAUGCAAGUCGAACGAGUGGCGGACGGGUGAGUAAUGUCUGGGAAACUGCCUGAUGGAGGGGGAUAACUACUGGAAACGGUAGCUAAUACCGCAUACCAUCAGAUGUGCCCAGAUGGGAUUAGCUUGUUGGUGGGGUAACGGCUCACCAAGGCGACGAUCCCUAGCUGGUUUGAGAGGAUGACCAGACACACUGGAACUUAGACCCGGGCCAGACUCCGACGGGAGGGAGCAGGGGGGAAGUGUGGACAAUUGGGGGAAGCCUGAUGCAGGCAUGCCCCGUGUAUGAAGAAGGCCUUCGGGUUGUAAAGUACUUUCAGCGGGGAGGCGUUACCCGCAGAAGAAGCACCGGCUAACUCCGUGCCAGCAGCCGCGGUAAUUC